rnacentral:rRNA from 1 species
UCAGAACGAACGCUGGCGGCAUGGAUUAGGCAUGCAAGUCGAACGGUGCAGCAAUGCAUAGUGGCGCAAGGGUGAGGAACGCGUGAGUAACCUGCCCUCAAGUUGGGAACAGCUUCUGGAAACGGAAAUUAAUACCGAAUGUGACCAUAGGAAGGCAUCUUCUGUUGGUUAAAGGCCGCAAGGUCGCUUGAGGAGGGGCUCGCGUCCCAUUAUGCUAGCUGGUGAGGUAACGGCCCACCAAGGCGAAGAUGGGUAGCUGGUCUGAGAGGACGAUCAGCCACACUGGGACUGAGAACUGCCCAGACUCCUACGGGAGGCUGCAGUCGAGAAUUUUGGGCAAUGGACGAAAGUCUGACCCAAGCAAUGCCGCGUGCGGGAUGAAGGUCUUCGGAUUGUAAACCGCUGUCAAGUGGGACGAAACAAAUGACGGUACCGCUGAAGGAAGUCACGGCUAACUACGUGCCAGCCGCUGC